GACUUGUAAGAAUCUCGGCACUGCAUUUCUCUCAUCGAAGUCCAAAUACAAAACCCUAAACUGAUCUCCAAAAUCCAACCUCAAAACCCUUAUUCUCCUCUUGCUUUGCAAUCAAACGCCAUGACGAAGGAAUUCGCGGUGCCGCCCGUAAUUUUUCCCUCCGGUGGCAACCCAACCGUUGGUGGUGCCUCCAACAUGCCGCAACGCAGGGUUCCAACGGCACCUUUUCAACCUCAACGACCUUCAAACUCUGGAAUCCCUUUCAUGUCAUUUGAGAUCGGUUCCGCUCCAACCGCACCUUAUGGCGGCGGUCCCAUUGGCGGCGGGCCUGCCGCGUCAUCUGGCGCCGCGAACUUCGACGACGAAGAGCCACUGCUCGAUGAGCUCGGUAUACAUCCUGAUCAAAUCUGGAGAAAGACAAAAUCAAUUCUGAAUCCAUUCCGCGUUAACCCCACCUUCCACAAAGAUUCGGAUCUGUCUGGCCCGAUCUUCCUCUACCUCUCUCUUUGCUUAUUUCAAUUACUCGCGGGGAAAAUCCAAUUUGGUGUAAUUUUGGGCUGGAUUGUAGUAUCGUCGAUUUUUCUUUAUGUGGUGUUUAAUAUGCUGGCUGGGAGAAAUGGCAAUUUGGAUCUGCAUACUUGUACUAGUGUUCUUGGUUAUUGUUUACUGCCGGUGGUGAUGUUAUCAGCGAUUUCGCUUUUCAUGCCUCAGGGCGGGCCUAUUAGAUUCUUGGUCGCUGGGGUUUUUGUCAUUUGGGCGACUAGGGCUUGUACAAAUCUAAUGGUGGCAGUGGCUGAUGGAGGAGAGGAACAUCGUGGAUUGAUUGCGUACGCUUGUUUCUUGAUUUAUACUCUGUUUUCGUUGCUUGUUAUAUUUUAAUGAGAAUAAUGUAAGAUUGGGAAUUGGUAUUGAUUUUGUUUUUUGCUUUGUAGUUUAAAGAUAUUGUAGUUUUGGUUGGAUUUUUUUUUCUCCAGUUGCAGGUGAUCAUAAAUCUAAUAUACGCUGGCAUUCGGUAUCAUGAUUUGUUCAUAAACGGUAUAUGUAGAAUUGAAAAUAGUAAGGUGCCGCAUUAAUGUUGUUAGACGAUUUUCCCCUCCUGUUAUUUUAGUUUGCUUUUUUAGUUUUGAAAUUAGAAUGUGUACUGUAUUAUUCACAAAUUUAAUGAAAGAAGAUAUUGAUAGGCUGAUGCUCUUGUUCUUUGCCUAUUUUGUUACUUUUGUCCUUGUGAAUCAAUCUUUGAGAGCUUGGUUU
rnacentral:misc_RNA from 1 species